CCUACAUAUAAGCGGUGCCCGAGGCCGGCCUCGACAGCCUGUGUGCUGCGUGAGGACGACGCUGGGUUUGCUGUGCUGUCGGUUCUGUCUCUGCUGUGAGAUGUCAGCCCCACACCCAGGGCCGCACGGAGGGCCGCCGCCGCCGCACGGAGGGCCCGGGCACGGAGGUCCACCGCACGGUCCUCCAGGGCAUCAUCACCCACCCGGCCCCCACCUGCCGCGCCCCCAU